CAGGCAGGAAAAUGUAAGGCAGUGACUUCUGAGACAAGGCAUCUGCCUUUCUUUUCUUUUCAGAGGAAAUCUCGGCGUUACUACCCCACACGCCUGGCCAUCAAUCUCUCAUCAGGUGUCUCUGGAGCUGGGGGCACUGUGCAUCAGCCAGGUUUCAUUGUCGUGGAAACCAAUUACCGACUGUAUGCCUACACGGGUGAGGCGGGACAGAGGGCCCCUGGAAGAGAAGGUUGGGGGUGAGGGAAUGCCAGUUUAUGUUCGUGUUUACCUGGCAGUCUACAGAGCUCUCUGACAUUUCUCAUGACACUUGAAAGAAGGGCUUGAGGGAGUCUGGGUGUGGGGGUGGCCUCCAUCCUCUUUCUAUCCCUGGCUCAGAGUCGGAGCUGCAGAUUGCCCUCAUUGCCCUCUUCUCUGAGAUGCUCUAUCGGUUCCCCAACAUGGUGGUGGCGCAGGUGACCCGGGAGAGUGUGCAGCAGGCAAUCGCCAGUGGCAUCACAGCCCAGCAGAUAAUCCAUUUCUUAAGGACAAGAGCCCACCCAGUGAUGCUCAAACAGGUACAGACAGGCUCCAAGAUGUCAGAGGCUGGCGGCUGGUGAUGAGAUGAUGGAAAAGAAAAAGGGGCAUCCAAAUCUGGGGAAGGAGCAGAGGGCCGGGUUGUCUGGGGCAGUAUUCUGAGUUCCUACAGUCAACCCUUGCUCCUUGCAGACACCUGUGCUGCCCCCCACCAUCACCGACCAGAUCCGGCUCUGGGAGCUGGAAAGGGACAGACUCCGGUUCACUGAGGGUGUCCUGUAUAACCAGUUCCUGUCGCAAGUGGACUUUGAGCUGCUGCUAGCCCACGCGCGGGAGCUGGGCGUGCUCGUGUUCGAGAACUCGGCCAAGCGGCUCAUGGUGGUGACACCGGCCGGGCACAGCGACGUCAAACGCUUUUGGAAGCGGCAGAAACACAGCUCCUGAGAGCGCGGGACUUGGACCCGGACCUCGGCGGGCGGGACCGGGCGGGGCGGGGCAUCAGAACUCAGGUGUUUUUUAUUUACGCGUCAGGGCUUUUCUUGUCUAAUAAAGUUGUGAUAGGUAGCA
rnacentral:sRNA from 1 species